GUGGGGAAUCUUGCGCAAUGGGCGAAAGCCUGACGCAGCCAUGCCGCGUGAAUGAUGAAGGUCUUAGGAUUGUAAAAUUCUUUCACCGGGGACGAUAAUGACGGUACCCGGAGAAGAAGCCCCGGCUAACUUCGUGCCAGCAGCCGCGGUAAUACGAAGGGGGCUAGCGUUGCUCGGAAUUACUGGGCGUAAAGGGCGCGUAGGCGGACAGUUUAGUCAGAGGUGAAAGCCCAGGGCUCAACCUUGGAAUUGCCUUUGAUACUGGCUGUCUUGAGUACGGGAGAGGUGAGUGGAACUCCGAGUGUAGAGGUGAAAUUCGUAGAUAUUCGGAAGAACACCAGUGGCGAAGGCGACUCACUGGCCCGUUACUGACGCUGAGGCGCGAAAGCGUGGGGAGCAAACAGGAUUAGAUACCCUUGGUAGUCC
rnacentral:rRNA from 1 species